rnacentral:lncRNA from 1 species
GCCUUGUCACUAAUCUCUCUCAACUAACCUAAAGACAUUUUAUGUUUUGUCUCAUCCGGUCCCACUUAACUAUAAUUAUGUUAGUCCUCUCUAUCUAAUUGGGUUUAUCAUCAUAUCAGAGCACUAUCGAUAAGUUCGCAGAUACCGAAGCUGAAAUUAACAAUAAAGAGAGAAACGAUGUAAAUCCAAACCCUAAACGUCGUAUAGCAGCUUCAGCUUUGGUGUAUGCAUGCCAUUACAUUCCAAUUACUUCCCGACAAACAUUUGCUCCCACCACUUUUGAUGUGCCUUUCAGGCUUUACAUCCCCAUGUCCACUUCUCCCUGUUCAAAUCCCGCUCUAUACUGUCUCGCUUCUUUUGUGAGAGAUUGCUACUAAUCAAACUUUCCAGAUUAAUCUAAUUAAUCAAAAUGAAGACAUAUCGAUGAUCAUUAGGCGGUGGAUAACUGAAUAUAUAAGUUUGCCACAGCUCUAUAAAUUUACAUUUUUCAUUGUGACAUGAUAAAAAAGCAAUUUUUAGAGCAUGAUUAACCCUAAAACCUAUUUGGGUUUCUUAAUUUUCUUUUUGAUCUGAUUAAAAAAAAUAAAAAAAAGAACCAAUUGCGAGCCGCCACAUGUCAGUGGGACCCGCGAGUAGUGUCGGUCCUAUUUCAGCAUUUUUGCAACCGAUUCUUGGGCAUUUCGGUGGGGCCCACCCCUUACUUUUUGGGAAGAACCCCCAAAAAAUACCCCGAUAAUCAUGUUUUUACUUACUUUGAG